AUGCAGUCGAACGAACUUCCGUUAAUUGAUCAUGGACGUGCUUGCACUGAAUGAGAUUUUAACACGAAGUGAGUGGCGGACGGGUGAGUAACACGUGGGUAACCUGCCCAGAAGCAGGGGAUAACACCUGGAAACAGAUGCUAAUACCGUAUAACAGAGAAAACCGCCUGGUUUUCUUUUAAAAGAUGGCUCUGCUAUCACUUCUGGAUGGACCCGCGGCGCAUUAGCUAGUUGGUGAGGUAACGGCUCACCAAGGCGAUGAUGCGUAGCCGACCUGAGAGGGUAAUCGGCCACAUUGGGACUGAGACACGGCCCAGACUCCUACGGGAGGCAGCAGUAGGGAAUCUUCCACAAUGGACGCAAGUCUGAUGGAGCAACGCCGCGUGAGUGAAGAAGGGUUUCGGCUCGUAAAGCUCUGUUGUUAAAGAAGAACGUGGGUGAGAGUAACUGUUCACCCAGUGACGGUAUUUAACCAGAAAGCCACGGCUAACUACGUGCCAGCAGCCGCGGUAAUACGUAGGUGGCAAGCGUUAUCCGGAUUUAUUGGGCGUAAAGCGAGCGCAGGCGGUCUUUUAAGUCUAAUGUGAAAGCCUUCGGCUCAACCGAAGAAGUGCAUUGGAAACUGGGAGACUUGAGUGCAGAAGAGGACAGUGGAACUCCAUGUGUAGCGGUGAAAUGCGUAGAUAUAUGGAAGAACACCAGUGGCGAAGGCGGCUGUCUGGUCUGUAACUGACGCUGAGGCUCGAAAGCAUGGGUAGCGAACAGGAUUAGAUACCCUGGUAGUCCAUGCCGUAACGAUGAUUACUAAGUGUUGGAGGGUUUCCGCCCUUCAGUGCUGCAGCUAACGCAUUAAGUAAUCCGCCUGGGGAGUACGACGCAAG
rnacentral:rRNA from 1 species